rnacentral:lncRNA from 1 species
AUCUAUCAUUUCCUUUCCUUUUCUUAAAGAGAAGUUAGCAUAAAUGGCCAACAAAGAAUUUACAAUCCAUUAUUUUGCAUCGAGGUGCUCAGUAAAUGGAUCAUCGAAUACAAGCUACUGAUCAUCUUUUCUUCAUAUGAGCCGAGAUGUAACUAACAUUUACAAUAAAGCAUUGAGUUCAUAGCCUCAGUCAGCAUCGGUCGAGACUCACGGCUUGAAAUUUACAAGGAUCAGGGACGAAUUCUUUCUUAUUUCUCUAGUAGUGUAGAGUAAUGUCUUAU